UAGGGAAUAUUAGAAAUGGACGAAAGUCUGAUCUAGCAACACCGCGUGUGCGAAGAAGGCCUUCGGGUUGUAAAGCACUUUUUGGAAGGAUUAGGAAGGAAUGUACUUCCAGAAUAAGUCUCGGCUAACUACGUGCCAGCAGCCGCGGUAACACGUAGGAGGCAAACGUUAUCCGGAUUUACUGGGCGUAAAGCGCGUGUAGGUGGUUCUGUAAGUAGGGCGUGAAAGCUCCUGGCUCAACUGGGAUAGGCCGUUCAAUACUUCCGGACUUGAGAGUGGGAGAGGGAGGUGGAAUUCCGGGUGUAGUGGUGAAAUGCGUAGAUAUCCGGAGGAACACCAGUGGCGAAAGCGGCCUCCUGGCCCAUUUCUGACGCUCAGACACGAAAGCUAAGGUAGCAAACG
rnacentral:rRNA from 1 species